UACGUAGGGUGCAAGCGUUGUCCGGAAUUAUUGGGCGUAAAGAGCUCGUAGGCGGUUUGUUGCGUCGGCUGUGAAAUCCCGAGGCUCAACCUCGGGUCUGCAGUCGAUACGAGCAAACUAGAGUGUUGCAGGGGAGACUGGAAUUCCCGGUGUAGCGGUGAAAUGCGCAGAUAUCAGGAGGAACACCGAUGGCGAAGGCAGGUCUCUGGGCCACUACUGACGCUGAGAAGCGAAAGCAUGGGGAGCGAACAGG
rnacentral:rRNA from 1 species